rnacentral:rRNA from 1 species
ACGUAGGGGGCUAGCGUUAUCCGGAAUUACUGGGCGUAAAGGGUGCGUAGGUGGCCAACAAGUCAGAGGUGAAAGGCUACGGCUCAACCGUAGUAAGCCUUUGAAACUGUAGGGCUUGAGUGCAGGAGAGGAAAGUAGAAUUCCCAGUGUAGCGGUGAAAUGCGUAGAUAUUGGGAGGAAUACCAGUUGCGAAGGCGGCUUUCUGGACUGUAACUGACACUGAGGCACGAAAGCGUGGGGAGCGAACAG